AUCCAGAGCGUGCUUGAAGCCUUCUGAAGUAAAAUAAGGUAGAAGAUGUAAUCAUUAGAUAUCUAUUUGCUGACUUAUUUAGUGAUUUACUUAAAGCACUGUACUGCCAUUUGCCAAGCAUGGCUUCCCUUGCUACCUGAGAGAAAGAGAUGAAACAACGGGCCGUUGCCCUUAACAACCUUGGGACCGCCACAGACGCUGCUGUAAAACCUCCCUUGAUUGCUCGCUCCACAUUAUGGUUUUAAUGAAUAGAACGAGAAUGAAAACUGCACCCGUACUGAAGCUGUCCUGGCUUCAGCCCACCAAUGACAUCUCCUCCCUUCCACUCUCCUUGGUGUCAGAGUGCUUACUCCAGAACGAUUCCCACAACACUUUCUCGCCAGCUAGUGACGAAAACCACAACGUAAUUAGCAGCAUCUGCUUACUGCUAUCCUCCCUUGCCAGUCUCAAAGCUACAUCGCCAAAACCUCCGCAUGGAACUGCGUCCAUCCUAUUGGCUAGAGGUUCUGACUGAUUGUCAAAGCUCCAGCCCACUGUGGUGGUCCUGGGAAAUACAAGGAAGAGGGAGCCCUAAGCAACAAGCAAUGUUCUUCCAUGACCUCUGCUUCAGUUCCUGCUUCCAGAUUCCUGCUUGAGAGUUCCUGCUGUGACUUUUCUCAGUGAUGGACUGUGAUGUAGACACAUUAGCCAAAUAAGCCUUUUUCAUUGCCAGUUGGUAACUGUUGGGCGGAGCCUAGCAAAGGCACCCUUCACCCACCUGAAGCCUCUCUCCAGCUGAGAAAGUUCCACCACAGCCGCCACCAUCCGUCAUGAAGGUUAACAACAAAGAGACAAUAUUCCUUUUGCAUAGAAAUCUUUUAUGUUAAUCAGCAAUGACCAGGUUCAAGGCCUGUCUGUUUAUGACCAUGUUGGGUAGGGCCCCACUUCUCUCAGAUAUUUUCCUGGUAACCUCACA
rnacentral:lncRNA from 1 species